rnacentral:rRNA from 1 species
AGCGGAGGAAAAGAAACCAACAGGGAUUGCCUUAGUAGCGGCGAGUGAAGCGGCAAAAGCUCAAAUUUGAAAUCUGGCGCCUUCGGUGUCCGAGUUGUAAUUUGAAGAUUGUAACCUUGGGGUUGGCUCUUGUCUAUGUUUCUUGGAACAGGACGUCACAGAGGGUGAGAAUCCCGUGCGAUGAGAUGCCCAAUUCUAUGUAAGGUGCUUUCGAAGAGUCGAGUUGUUUGGGAAUGCAGCUCUAAGUGGGUGGUAAAUUCCAUCUAAAGCUAAAUAUUGGCGAGAGACCGAUAGCGAACAAGUACAGUGAUGGAAAGAUGAAAAGAACUUUGAAAAGAGAGUGAAAAAGUACGUGAAAUUGUUGAAAGGGAAGGGUUUGAGAUCAGACUCGAUAUUUUGUGAGCCUUGCCUUCGUGGCGGGGUGACCCGCAGCUUAUCGGGCCAGCAUCGGUUUGGGCGGUAGGAUAAUGGCGUAGGAAUGUGACUUUACUUCGGUGAAGUGUUAUAGCCUGCGUUGAUGCUGCCUGCCUAGACCGAGGACUGCGAUUUA